CCUACGGGAGGCAGCAGUGAGGAAUAUUGGUCAAUGGGCGAGAGCCUGAACCAGCCAAGUCGCGUGAGGGAGUACUGCCCUCUGGGUUGUAAACCUCUUUUGUCGGGGAGCAAAAGCCGGACGUGUCCGGCUGUGAGAGUACCCGAAGAAAAAGCAUCGGCUAACUCCGUGCAAGCAGCCGCGGUAAUACGGGGGAUGCGCGCGUUAUCCGGAUUUAUUGGGUUAAAAGGGUGCGCAGGCGGAUUUUUAAGUCAGCGGGAAAAUCGUGGGGCUAAACCCCAUCCAGCCGUUGAAACUGGGGAUCUAGAGUGGGCGAGAGGUAUGAGGAAUGCGUGGUGUAGCGGUGAAAUGCAUAGAUAUCACGCAGAACCCGGAUUGCGAAGGCAGCAUACCGGUGCACAACUGACGCUCAGGCACGAAAGCGUGGGUAUCGAACAGGAUUAGAUACCCUUGUAGUC
rnacentral:rRNA from 1 species